rnacentral:piRNA from 1 species
UGUAAGUGGAACUGUGCAGGAACAAU